UCCAGGGUACUGAACUUCCUGCAUAGAAAGGAAAGAGUUCAAUAUCAUUGGCAGCUUGUACGACAUGGCAUGGAGAACUAACUUAGAGUGAUGAACUUACUGCACAGAAGGAAAUAGAGCAACAAUAUUGACAACUUGUGGGACAUUCACUGCAGAACUGAGUUGUUUUUCUAGGAUUCUCGCAUUGAAGGAGGGGAGAACACAAACUUGGUAUUUUGUGCCCAUUCAUAUUUGUUUCACAUAUACUUGGAAUACUACUAUUUAGAGUGCUCAUAUUUUUUUUGUGCUCUUUGGACAUGUAGAAGAGGAUCAAAACUCACUCUCUAAAGAGAUAAGCAAUGUAUCAACAAAUAUUUUGAGCACUUCGGAUAGAUUGGGAUGUUGCAAUUUUUAGUAAUAGUAUUGUUUGUGUUUUAGUAGAAGCAA